rnacentral:lncRNA from 1 species
UCCCAUCUUCUUUCUCCUCAAACCUUUGCAGCCCUCACCACCCAAAACCCUAGCCCCCCCCCAUUUCUCUUCCCCCCCCUCCAAGGUGCAGCCCUCCCGCGUGUUCUCCGUCGUGUGGCUGUGAUCUCAAUUGGAGUUUGGAGGGAGGAAGAAGGAAGGAGGAAGGGAAGAACCCAAGGUGAAUUCAUGUUUCACUUUUGUUGUUUUUGUGCUGCAAUCAAUUGGAUUAUGCGUUUAUCUUUGCGAAUCGGUAGAGGUGCUGUCCAGGAAUUUUGUGAGUGGGUGGACAGCAGUAGUUCUAGGGAUUUCUGGGACUUUUCGUGGGAUAAUUAGUGGGAAUCAGUGGGAUAAUCAAGUAGAGCUUUGUCAUACCUUUCCAACAAGUACUUAUGCGCUCGAUUCGGAGUUAUAAUUUAGGAGAUAUCAUUGUUUGAAUCCGAAUAUGUUGCUGUCCAAAAAAAACAGAUUUUUCAGGUGGGUGAACAGCAGUAGUAUUAGCAGUUUCUGGGCAUUUUUCGUGGAUAAUUAGUGAUAACCAGUAUGAUAAUCAUGUAGGGUUUUGUCUUAUCUUUCCAAUGAGUACUUAUGCGCUUGAUUUGGAAUUAUAUUUUAAAAAUAUCGCUGUUUGAAUCCGGGUAUGUCGCUGUCCAAAAGAGAAAAAAACAGAUUACAGGGUUUAUCUUGUGGACUGUUUUGGGCUAAUUAGAUGUUGAAAUUUUAUUAUAAAUUGUAUACAAAACUUGUGGGGAAUUUGAUGUAGAUGCCUCUGGAGUUUUUGGUUGUCACUACUGCUGUCAUAAUUUUAAAGUUAUGAAAUUAUUAAGCAGCGCUGCUGCAGUUUGGUGGGUGCGGGGAGAAUUGUUACCCGUGGCGGGGUUUGAGAUUGUGCGUAGGUGCGGCGUCGUUUAUGAGGCUUAUUAUAUGAAAUUGGUGCACUAAGUUGUGUGUCAAAAACAGGUGGUGGACUUCCGGAUCGUACUUAGGGAUUUGCCCAAACUUCCGGUGAAGGCAAGUAAAACAGUGAUGGUUAUUCCGUCUGUCGAAUGAAGAGUCUUAUACUUGAUUAUGUUUGUGCUAGUAUUCAUAUUUCUAAUUGAGUACCAUCGUUGGAAGAUAUUCAUGUUUUAUUGAUUACAUAUGUUGAGUUUGUGGUUUGAUCAUGUUACCCAUGUGGUUUAUUAAGUGGAAUGGGUGGAAGUAUAUGUCUAGCACAUUUUGUUUGGGAAGAACUCAUGUUGUUGACUUGCAUAAUGCAUUCAUCAUCCAUUGCAUUGAAGUUUCGUCGCGAUCUUAUGGUCCGACCGUACUGGUACAAUGAGCAUCAUAUGUUGCCCGAGAAGGGGUAUGAUGCAGCUUCAUAUCCUUAGAGAUAUGAAGGCAGAAGUCAUUACUACAUCUGUAGCCAUGUGCAUUCAUGGGAGAGGUGUGGAAUCUGUUAUGUGGAUGUGGAUAGUGUGGAUCUUUACAUUGUGAUUCAUCUUGGCAUUAAAUAAUCAGUUACUUGCUUACUUGCUGCAAAUUAAUAUUUAAGAAGGAAGUUUUGAACUACGUUGUUGUUUAAGCACGAUUGGUUUACAUUGUCCAAUUGUUGUUUGCUCUGUUUACUUGCUGAGAUGUGUCAUCUCACUCUUGCAUUGUCUGAUGCAGGCACCUGAUUUCUGCUUUGGGAAAGAAAGGAUGUAGUAGCACGGCCACUACACCUUUAAUAAAGGAACCACUGCUUAAUAAUGUUGUUAAUCAGGGAGGGUCAAGUCUAGGGAAUUAUUAUGUUCUAGCCUUUCAUGGUAGUUGAGCUGAUUUUUUUGGGGUGGGCUGAGUUACACAUUUUUUUAAUUGGUCAUGAAUGUGCUUUACUACUUUUGAAUUUUGAUUAUACUACAUGAAUUAUCUGUCUUUUAUAUCCUGUAUCAACUCUAUGUUCCCCCCUUGUUAUGC